CUUUUUACCUAACCCACCCUGUCAACUUUCCCUGUGGGAGGAAACCGGAUUACCCGGGGAAAACCCACGGCUUUCGGCAGAGCGUUGACUUUUACUCUUUUCACAUGGGGACUGGGUUCGAGUCGCACUGAGAAGGUACUUAGUGAGACUCGAACCUGCAGCCUCAGAGGUGAAAGGCAAGUGCGCUAACCACUUGCCCACCGUUGCCCCAAAUCUCCCAAUCUCUAUCACAUAUAUAAAGAUACGACACGCUUAUGAUUUUUCUUUGUGUUUUCCGCAUGAAUUAUUAAUGAGUUUUUGAAAUACAUUUAUUAGACCUAACCAAGAAGAGCUGCAAUAAAUGCAACUAUGCGUCAUCUGGCAGGAAUCGAACCUCUCGAACCAUGGCCGUAGGAACCACGGAGGCAGCGGGGCUUGAGCCCCCCCCUAACUUUUAGAAGCAGAGGGCUGAGCCCCCUCAAAAAUUCUAAUUUCUAAGUGAAUCUCGAAG